UUUCUAAAAAUAUUUCUCAAAAUCUUUUCAUUUCCCGCUUCUCCUCCUUACCCUUCUCUGGUUCCCACUUCUCUCUCCUUCCCCUCUCUGGUUCUCUAAUUCUCUGCUCAUUCCCCUUCUCUAGUUUCUAACAAGCCGUUGAUGUUCCCCCUACCACCGACGUUGUUCCCUUACCGUCGACGCUUCCUCUUCCAGCCGUGGGUUAAAAACCCUAAUUUGUAAUUGUAACCUGCUUGUUGAUGUUAAUUGAGGUUGUUUUGAGCAGUUGAGCUUCAUGAUUCAACCUCUAGAGAAGAGAAAUCUGAAGAUUUUGUAUUGUUUCCCCAUCAACCUUCAACAUCGAACUCGUAAGGAGAGGCGGUAUCUUGCUUGGAGCAGGCUGUAAAUAGCUUCCUUGAAAUGGAAAACUCAAUAUGUGUGCUAGAUUCUAUAAGGUAAACUAAAUGGUUGAAAGUUGGUUUUGCUCUAUUUGGUUGAUACACGAGUUAAUUUCUUUCUAAUAUCUCUAUAAUAUCACCUUUUAACUUUAUUUUUAAUUAGGUCGAUUUUGAUGAUGAUUAGAAACUCUUUCGUUUAUAAUUAUGCACAUUACGCCUGAUCAAUUGCACAUGGGUCAUUAUAUCCUUUAUAUGAAAGGGAUAAUGACAAUUUAUUUGCUCAUUAUCACUAAUGAUUCAUCUCAUUUGCAUAGGAAAUCGUUGUAAUAUAUGAGACUGAUAAAAAUUUGGAGCAGGAUAUUGCUUGGUAUGAGAAAGUUGCAUAUCUUUUAAAAAGUGAAGAGGUGACAACCUCUGAAAAUUAGAACAGACAGAAAGUUGCACAAUAUUUUGCUUGGUAAGUGUAAAUUAUGUUUUCCUUGGUAAAUUGGUGACGCAAUAUGCCAAUAGCAGGUUGUUAGGCUUCUUUAAAGUUCAGUUGAAUGGUUACUAUUAGCCCCAAAUCUAUCUCUAACUAUACAUUUCUAGUCUCCCAGAAAGUAUAAUUAGGGAUAUAAUUUCUAAUUAGCAUGCAGAUGUCGAGAGUGAGCAGAUCAAAGAUAGUGGGAUGCCUUGGUUGUGGUUCAUUCAUACAAUCCCAGACGUAAAGUUCCGCAUAGCAGUAUCUCAAUAAGUGAUUUGAACCUUUGCUUAUCCAAAGCAUUGCUGCUGCUCAAAAUUACUCUGGUAAUAUAUUUCAACCUGUGAGAGCUAUUCGGGAUUGCCGGAUCAGCAGUAUAGUAGCACUUUUCGGAAUUAGAAACCACAUUCGUUUUUGAUGUUAUUAAUCUUAUUAUUAGUAAUAUAUGACCAUUUUAUGAUGGCUAUGAUAUGAUCUUGAGAUUAAAAUAUAUGCACCCCCGUCUUAGUGCGUUGGCUAUCACGUUUACUGUCAACACUCUAGAUCUUUGUCGCAGUGAAAUCAACAUUGUAAUCUAUCCUACUUUACUGUCGUGCUAAUAUCACUGACUCACCACCACUAGUUGAAUGGCACCGCGACUUUGUUACUUCAGUUACUCAAAACCAGCUGAAUGUUGUGUUAAUUAUCUUUGGAUGAGAUGAAACCUUUUAGUAUUCGUUAUCUGGAGUCCUAGAGCUCACUUGUAACCAGUAAGCAACUAGUUUAUUUGUUCUAAUCUUCUGAUCAUAUCUAUAACUUUUCCCCUUCCAUCGUUCUGGUUCAUAGUGUUUGUCAUUUGUGAUUAAUUGUUCUCCUGUCAGGAACUUUCUUUUUUUUAAUUAAAUUUAUUCCGUUGAUGAGCGUCGGCAAAGCCUCAUUUAUGCACUUAGUUAACUAGUUUAGUAUGUCUGCUAGCCUGAGGUUCUGAGUGCACUUGAAGUCCUGAUUAUUUUCUGUGAUAAUCUGUGACUAACUACGAAUACUUCUGUAAACUUCUUGAGCAGCCUCAAUCCAAAUGCCACGUGUCGGGUAUCAAGAUGGAUCAGUCGAUCAGAUCGAGCAAUUUGGUAUUCUAUUGAGCGUCUUUUGCGAAAAUAUUCCUCGAUAUAUGGCAUUAAGAUUUACGUGAAGCCUUCACGGUAUGAAAUGUAUUUGCAGUCAAUGCCUGAAUGUAGUAUUUCCAGUCAGUGCAACAUUAGAAUGAUGAAUCUCAAUGGUCAGAUUUGGAUUUGUAUCUUGAAGAGCCAGUCUUACCACAGAUGUAUAACUUCAUCGUGUUGCACUGGUGGAAAGAAAACGGGUUCAAGUAUCCUCAGCUUUCUUGGAUGGCUUGCAACUUCCUGGCCAUUCCUCUGUCUGUUGUGACUCAUUCUGAUGCAUACUACACUGAGCGAAGGGAAGCUAAUUGGAGAUUGUUGUCUUUCAAACCUGAACUGAUAAAUGCCUUGAAGUGCACUAGGAGCUGGAAAUUUGGUUAUGUAAGAAGUAAUAUAAGCUGCUCCGAGGCUCAAUUGAACUUUUAUGAGACCGUUAUGAGAUCAUGAGUAGAGCUAGGACUUGGAGUUUUGAAGCAUAGUAUGCUGUAUUAUCAUGGUUAUUGUGGGAGAGUGCAGGUAGAGAAUUAUCAGAGUCUUCUGGUUUAUGGAACUUUUAAGUUAUUUUCUUGACAAUGUGAACUAUAGGUGGAAGUAAGGACUUUUGUUGAUUUUCUUUUUAAUUGGUAGGAAAUCAACUACUUGUAUCUAUUUAGCUGAUAUUUUUUGCAUCGGCAUUGUUGAGAAUGAUAUGGCUUGCCAAUGUUAGUUGACAUUGAAGCUUAUUUUUGGUAUAAUUGUAAUGUAAUCGACUUUUAUAUUUACAAUUAUAUACUAUUCAAUUUAAUUAUAUAUAUAA